UACAGAGGGUGCAAGCGUUGUUCGGAAUUACUGGGCGUAAAGGGCUCGUAGGCGGCCGCUUAAGUCAGACGUGAAAUCCCUCGGCUCAACCGGGGCACCGCGUCUGAGACUGAAUGGCUUGAAUCCGGGAGAGGGAUGCGGAAUUCCAGGUGUAGCGGUGAAAUGCGUAGAUAUCUGGAGGAACACCGGUGGCGAAGGCGGCAUCCUGGACCGGUAUUGACGCUGAGGAGCGAAAGCCAGGGGAGCAAACGGG
rnacentral:rRNA from 1 species